rnacentral:rRNA from 1 species
ACUGAUGUAACUANAUUUAAGGCNGGNGGANGUCAGUUAGCCGUGNCGNUAGUNAUGGGACGUAUUUAUAACCCGUAUGGGCUUAUUGCAGCUACUUGUUGUUUCCUGGGCGGGUUCGCUCGCCACCAGGACCACCAAAUAAACCUUUUUUAUGCAGUUGCAAUCAGCGUCAGUACAAACAAUGUAAAUCAUUUACNAACUUUCAACAACGGAUCUCUUGUGUUCUGGCAUCGAUGAAGAACGCAGCGAAAUGCGAUACGUAGUGUGAAUUUGCAGAAUUCAGUGAAUCAUCGAAUCUUUGAACGCACAUUGCUGCCCUUAUGGUAUUCCAAAAGGGCAUAGCCUGUUCAAGAAGCGUCAUUUUGUACCCAUCAAAGACUUUGCUUUGGAUGUUGUGGCAGUUUAUUUGUCAUAUUUGGUCUGCCCAAAAAGACAUACAGACCUUAAAUGCUGAUUGGCAGCCGGACCUUUCAUGGUUUCAGACAUGCGCAGCACAUNUAUUGCGCUUGCCAUCAGACAAGACGGCAAUCCAUCAAGCCUCCUUCUCACGUUUGACCUCGGAUCAGGUAAGGGAUACCCGCUGAACUUA